AGACUUCUAUACGCUAUGGAGGGACGAUUUGGGUGACAUCUGCGACGCAGCCGCACAUCAACAAGCGUCCGGGCUCCAGGGACAUGGCGGCAGCCUCUGUGGUGUCGGUGCUGCUGGUGGCGACUGAGAGGAACCAGUGGCAGCCAGUCCAGAGCCCGCUGCUGCUGCCGCUGCCGCUGCCGAGGCAACGAUCCAAAAGGUAGUUCUGGCACUUAGAUACUACUACCUUGGAGCAACUUGUCAUGCCUGCAUUGUGUGGAACCAGUGUUCAAAAUAAAAUGCAAAAACUUCAGGCUGGUGGAGGAGGGAGCACACAACGUCCUGGUACUCCAGGGAGACCAUUUGAUAUGCUAAAUAGACUAUAUCAUUGUUGUGUUGCUUUCUGCCUUAAUGCCAAUUGAUAUGCUGAAGACCUCAAAAAGUUCCUGAGAAAUCCAUUUCAAAUUCUAGUGAAGAAAGAAGAACUGACCUUUGAAAAGGUCAAUAUCUUAUAAUAACUUUGAAAGAGGGUGGUGACAGAAAGAAAGAGGCAUUACCAAGAGGGAAUUCAAAUAAGGGACUGAUUACUACUGACUUACUGAAUUGGCAGCAGGAGUCAAUUUGGGAGGAAGGCUGUGGCCAUAACCAUUGAAGAAGACAAGAAGAUUCUUUGUGACACUGAGCCUUUCUGCCAUACUACACUGGAGGAAAUGCCAAUGAAUGUGGCUGACCUAAUUUAAUUCCUGGGAUGAAAUGGUUUUGAAUGUAGUGCUUGCUGUUGGUGAAUAGGCAAUCACAAGGUGCACUGUGCUUCUUUUGGGGGAAAUAUUUGAAGCUUUGUCUCAAUGCUCAUAACAGAUCAAAAAUACAGAUUUUGAUAGCAAAGCAACUUCAGCCAUGAGCUAAUGUGAGGAAAGUCAUUGGCUUUAUCCUCUUUAGAAUUAGACUGUUGGGGUGGCUAUAAAAGAUGGGGUUGUACCCAAUUGAAAAAUGGGCAGAAGACCUAACUAUACAUUUCUCCAAAGAAGACAUACCGAUGGCCAACAGGCAAAUGAAAAAAGUCUCAACAUUGCUAAUUAUCAGAGAAAUGCAAAUCAAAACUACAAUGAGAUACUGCCUCACACCAGUCAGAAUAGCCAACAUUAAAAAGUCUACAAAUAGCAUAUGCUGGAGAGGGUGUGGAGAAGAGGGAACCUUCUUACACUGUUGGUGGAAAUGUAAAUUGGUGCAGCCACUGUGGAGAACAGUAUGGAGGUUCCUCAAGAAACUAAAAAUAGAAUUACCAUAUGAUCCAGCAAUCCCACUCCUGGGCAUAUAUCCAGAUAAAACUAUAAUUCAAAAAGAUACAUGCACCCCUAUGGUCAUAGCAGCACUAUUCACAAUAGCCAAGACAUGGAAACCACCUAAAUGUCCACCUAGAGAUGAAUGGAUAAAGAAGAUGUGGUACAUAUAAUACAAUGGAAUACUACUCAGCCAUAAAAAAAGAAAUAAUGCCAUUUGCAGCAACAUGGAUGGAACUGGAGAUUAUCAUACUAAGUGAAGAAGUCAGAAAGAGAAAGAAAAAUACCAUAUGAUAUCCCUUAUAUGUGGAAUCUAAAAUAUGACACAAAUGAACCUACCUAUGAAACAGAAACAGACUCACAGACAUAGAGAACAGACCUGUGUUUGCCAAGGCAGUGGGGGUGGGGAGAGGAGAGAUGGAGUGGGAGUUUGGGGUUAGCAGAUGCAAACUAUUAUAUACAGGAUGGAUAAACAACGAGGUCCUACUGUAUAGCACGGAACUAUAUUCAACAUCUUGUGAUAAAACAUAAUGGAAAAGACUAUGAAAAAGAAUACAUAUAUAUGUAUAACUGAAUCACUUUGCUGUAGAGCAGAAAUUAACUCAACAUUGUAAAUCAACUAUACUUCAAUUUAAAAAAAAGAUGGGGUUGUAAAUCUUUCUUAGAAUUUUAUCUCCUAGUUCUCUACACAUGGUUAUAUUGAGUGUUCACUAUCAUUUAAUAAUAUACUUGUUGACUGAAAGAUACGUGCUAUAUAAAAGCAGCCAAUUAUAUUAAACUAGUAUAUCUACUGUUAUUGUGUUAGUCACUAGACUGAAUGGAACUAACUUUAAAAUGAUUUUUUCAGAAAAUAUUUGAAUUUAUUUUUUUUGGUAUCGUUUUUAUUCAGUAAGGCAUUUUAUUAGUGGUAAGUGUAAACUAGAGUCUUUUGCUAAACACCAGCAACAAUCAUGUCCUACAGUUAAAUCUCAGAAAAAUUGCUGUAUUGUAUAUUGAAUUUUCAAUAAAUUAAAAUGAAGUAUUUUUUCUUUAAA